GGCGGACGGGUGAGUAACGCGUGGGAACGUGCCUUCUGGUCUGGAAUAACCCUGGGAAACUAGGGCUAAUACCGGAUACGCCCUUUUGGGGAAAGGUUUACUGCCGGAAGAUCGGCCCGCGUCUGAUUAGCUUGUUGGUGGGGUAACGGCUACCAAGGCGACGAUCAGUAGCUGGUCUGAGAGGAUGAUCAGCCACACUGGGACUGAGACACGGCCCAGACUCCAUACGGGAGGCAGCAGUGGGGAAUAUUGGACAAUGGGCGCAAGCCUGAUCCAGCCAUGCCGCGUGAGUGAUGAAGGCCUUAGGGUUGUAAAGCUCUUUUAUCCGGGACGAUAAUGACGGUACCGGAGGAAUAAGCCCCGGCUAACUUCGUGCCAGCCGCCGCGG
rnacentral:rRNA from 1 species